UGGGGAAUAUUGGACAAUGGGGGCAACCCUGAUCCAGCAAUGCCGCGUGUGUGAAGAAGGUCUUCGGAUUGUAAAGCACUUUCGACGGGGACGAUGAUGACGGUACCCGUAGAAGAAGCCCCGGCUAACUUCGUGCCAGCAGCCGCGGUAAUACGAAGGGGGCUAGCGUUGCUCGGAAUGACUGGGCGUAAAGGGCGUGUAGGCGGUUUACACAGUCAGAUGUGAAAUCCCCGGGCUUAACCUGGGAGCUGCAUUUGAUACGUGUAGACUAGAGUGUGAGAGAGGGUUGUGGAAUUCCCAGUGUAGAGGUGAAAUUCGUAGAUAUUGGGAAGAACACCGGUGGCGAAGGCGGCAACCUGGCUCAUGACUGACGCUGAGGCGCGAAAGCGUGGGGAGCAAACAGGAUUAGAUACCCUGGUAGUCCACGCUGUAAACGAUGUGUGCUAGAUGUUGGGUAACUUUGUUA
rnacentral:rRNA from 1 species